UAUGCUAUCGGAUAUUUGAAAAUCAGCUUUGUUCUUUCAGCUUUGACUGUCAUUUGCCAUUAAUCAUCAACAACGAUACAGAUCCCAAAAAUCAGGGUCUAACAUAUUUUUUCUGUUAAUGGAUAAGCAUACUAAAACAUAGCUUUCUUUUCUGCAGUUAAACAGUAAUAAUCACAGUUACUGGUUCAACAGCACUCACAGAAGUAAAUAUUUGUUUUCUGAACAUGAAUAUGACCCAGGAGCUACAUAAGGUCAUAUACUGUAAUACUUGUAAUCAACACAUAGAAACUUGCAGUGGGAUCAACAAUAAUUCAGUAUGUCAACAGGUUCAAAUCUACAGCUGUGAUAAAUUAGCAGUUCCACUGGACCUUGCCUCAGCUGAGACCUGGGCCUUAUAGUCUCAUACAGUCUGUAGGAAACUGGAAGGGUAGAAACAUCUUUUAGCCUCACUCCAAGAGACAUUAGCUUUCAGAAGCUUUUGCAAGGACCAUGUUGUUUCCUAUUGGCUAUUUCAGAGUCAGAAAGAAACUCCUUGAAGUCCUGAAGGACAAAACUCUGAUUUGCAACAGCAUUUUCCUCCUUCUUUGUUCAUUUCCUUCAGGGUACAUCGGACACAAUUCUGAAGAAGCAAGAAGUUUCGUAUGCAUUAGAAUUAAUGGGAAAUCAUCACUAGGUCAGCAAAACU
rnacentral:lncRNA from 1 species